rnacentral:tRNA from 3 species
GUCCCGAUCGUCCAGCGGCCUAGGACAUCGCCCUUUCAAGGCGGUAACGCGGGUUCGAAUCCCGUUCGGGAUACCA